rnacentral:rRNA from 1 species
UACGUAGGGUGCGAGCGUUAAUCGGAAUUACUGGGCGUAAAGGGUGCGCAGGCGGUCCUGCAAGUCAGGCGUGAAAUCCCCGGGCUUAACCUGGGAAUGGCACUUGAAACUACGGGACUGGAGUAUGGCAGAGGGAGGUGGAAUUCCACGUGUAGCGGUGAAAUGCGUAGAUAUGCGGAGGAACACCGAUGGCGAAGGCAAUCCCCUGGGCCUGCACUGACGCUCAUGCACGAAAGCGUGGGGAGCAAACAGG